UCAGAGUUGGCCUCUGUCUCGAGACAUGAGC
rnacentral:piRNA from 1 species